rnacentral:tRNA from 1 species
UGCCGCGUAGCUCAAUGGCUAGAGCACCUCUCUUACAAAGAGACACGUGUCGGUUCGAAUCCGACCGCGGCGA